GACGGGGGCCCGCACAAGCGGUGGAGCAUGUGGUUUAAUUCGAUGCAACGCGAAGAACCUUACCUACUCUUGACAUCCAGAGAAUUCGCUAGAGAUAGCUUAGUGCCUUCGGGAACUCUGAGACAGGUGCUGCAUGGCUGUCGUCAGCUCGUGUUGUGAAAUGUUGGGUUAAGUCCCGCAACGAGCGCAACCCUUAUCCUUGUUUGCCAGCGAGUAAUGUCGGGAACUCCAGGGAGACUGCCGGUGAUAAACCGGAGGAAGGUGGGGACGACGUCAAGUCAUCAUGGCCCUUACGAGUAGGGCUACACACGUGCUACAAUGGCAUAUACAGAGGGCAGCGAGGCCGCGAGGUGGAGCGAAUCCCAGAAAGUAUGUCGUAGUCCGGAUUGGAGUCUGCAACUCGACUCCAUGAAGUCGGAAUCGCUAGUAAUCGUGAAUCAGAAUGUCACGGUGAAUACGUUCCCGGGCCUUGUACACACCGCCCGUCACACCAUGGGAGUGGGCUGCACCAGAAGUAGAUAGAUUA
rnacentral:rRNA from 2 species